rnacentral:rRNA from 1 species
GGUUAAGCGACUAAGCGUACACGGUGGAUGCCCUGGCAGUCAGAGGCGAUGAAGGACGUGCUAAUCUGCGAUAAGCGUCGGUAAGGUGAUAUGAACCGUUAUAACCGGCGAUUUCCGAAUGGGGAAACCCAGUGUGUUUCGACACACUAUCAUUAACUGAAUCCAUAGGUUAAUGAGGCGAACCGGGGGAACUGAAACAUCUAAGUACCCCGAGGAAAAGAAAUCAACCGAGAUUCCCCCAGUAGCGGCGAGCGAACGGGGAGCAGCCCAGAGCCUGAAUCAGUGUGUGUGUUAGUGGAAGCGUCUGGAAAGGCGCGCGAUACAGGGUGACAGCCCCGUACACAAAAAUGCACAUGCUGUGAGCUCGAUGAGUAGGGCGGGACACGUGGUAUCCUGUCUGAAUAUGGGGGGACCAUCCUCCAAGGCUAAAUACUCCUGACUGACCGAUAGUGAACCAGUACCGUGAGGGAAAGGCGAAAAGAACCCCGGCGAGGGGAGUGAAAAAGAACCUGAAACCGUGUACGUACAAGCAGUGGGAGCACGCUUAGGCGUGUGACUGCGUACCUUUUGUAUAAUGGGUCAGCGACUUAUAUUCUGUAGCAAGGUUAACCGAAUAGGGGAGCCGAAGGGAAACCGAGUCUUAACUGGGCGUUAAGUUGCAGGGUAUAGACCCGAAACCCGGUGAUCUAGCCAUGGGCAGGUUGAAGGUUGGGUAACACUAACUGGAGGACCGAACCGACUAAUGUUGAAAAAUUAGCGGAUGACUUGUGGCUGGGGGUGAAAGGCCAAUCAAACCGGGAGAUAGCUGGUUCUCCCCGAAAGCUAUUUAGGUAGCGCCUCGUGAAUUCAUCUCCGGGGGUAGAGCACUGUUUCGGCAAGGGGGUCAUCCCGACUUACCAACCCGAUGCAAACUGCGAAUACCGGAGAAUGUUAUCACGGGAGACACACGGCGGGUGCUAACGUCCGUCGUGAAGAGGGAAACAACCCAGACCGCCAGCUAAGGUCCCAAAGUCAUGGUUAAGUGGGAAACGAUGUGGGAAGGCCCAGACAGCCAGGAUGUUGGCUUAGAAGCAGCCAUCAUUUAAAGAAAGCGUAAUAGCUCACUGGUCGAGUCGGCCUGCGCGGAAGAUGUAACGGGGCUAAACCAUGCACCGAAGCUGCGGCAGCGACGCUGAUGCGUUGUUGGGUAGGGGAGCGUUCUGUAAGCCUGCGAAGGUGUACUGUGAGGUAUGCUGGAGGUAUCAGAAGUGCGAAUGCUGACAUAAGUAACGAUAAAGCGGGUGAAAAGCCCGCUCGCCGGAAGACCAAGGGUUCCUGUCCAACGUUAAUCGGGGCAGGGUGAGUCGACCCCUAAGGCGAGGCCGAAAGGCGUAGUCGAUGGGAAACAGGUUAAUAUUCCUGUACUUGGUGUUACUGCGAAGGGGGGACGGAGAAGGCUAUGUUGGCCGGGCGACGGUUGUCCCGGUUUAAGCGUGUAGGCUGGUUUUCCAGGCAAAUCCGGAAAAUCAAGGCUGAGGCGUGAUGACGAGGCACUACGGUGCUGAAGUAACAAAUGCCCUGCUUCCAGGAAAAGCCUCUAAGCAUCAGGUAACAUCAAAUCGUACCCCAAACCGACACAGGUGGUCAGGUAGAGAAUACCAAGGCGCUUGAGAGAACUCGGGUGAAGGAACUAGGCAAAAUGGUGCCGUAACUUCGGGAGAAGGCACGCUGAUAUGUAGGUGAAGCGACUUGCUCGUGGAGCUGAAAUCAGUCGAAGAUACCAGCUGGCUGCAACUGUUUAUUAAAAACACAGCACUGUGCAAACACGAAAGUGGACGUAUACGGUGUGACGCCUGCCCGGUGCCGGAAGGUUAAUUGAUGGGGUUAGCGGUAACGCGAAGCUCUUGAUCGAAGCCCCGGUAAACGGCGGCCGUAACUAUAACGGUCCUAAGGUAGCGAAAUUCCUUGUCGGGUAAGUUCCGACCUGCACGAAUGGCGUAAUGAUGGCCAGGCUGUCUCCACCCGAGACUCAGUGAAAUUGAACUCGCUGUGAAGAUGCAGUGUACCCGCGGCAAGACGGAAAGACCCCGUGAACCUUUACUAUAGCUUGACACUGAACAUUGAGCCUUGAUGUGUAGGAUAGGUGGGAGGCUUAGAAGUGUGGACGCCAGUCUGCAUGGAGCCGACCUUGAAAUACCACCCUUUAAUGUUUGAUGUUCUAACGUUGGCCCCUAAUCGGGGUUGCGGACAGUGUCUGGUGGGUAGUUUGACUGGGGCGGUCUCCUCCUAAAGAGUAACGGAGGAGCACGAAGGUUGGCUAAUCCUGGUCGGACAUCAGGAGGUUAGUGCAAUGGCAUAAGCCAGCUUGACUGCGAGCGUGACGGCGCGAGCAGGUGCGAAAGCAGGUCAUAGUGAUCCGGUGGUUCUGAAUGGAAGGGCCAUCGCUCAACGGAUAAAAGGUACUCCGGGGAUAACAGGCUGAUACCGCCCAAGAGUUCAUAUCGACGGCGGUGUUUGGCACCUCGAUGUCGGCUCAUCACAUCCUGGGGCUGAAGUAGGUCCCAAGGGUAUGGCUGUUCGCCAUUUAAAGUGGUACGCGAGCUGGGUUUAGAACGUCGUGAGACAGUUCGGUCCCUAUCUGCCGUGGGCGCUGGAGAACUGAGGGGGGCUGCUCCUAGUACGAGAGGACCGGAGUGGACGCAUCACUGGUGUUCGGGUUGUCAUGCCAAUGGCACUGCCCGGUAGCUAAAUGCGGAAGAGAUAAGUGCUGAAAGCAUCUAAGCACGAAACUUGCCCCGAGAUGAGUUCUCCCUGACCCUUUAAGGGUCCUGAAGGAACGUUGAAGACGACGACGUUGAUAGGCCGGGUGUGUAAGCGCAGCGAUGCGUUGAGCUAACCGGUACUAAUGAACCGUGAGGCUUAACCUU